rnacentral:tRNA from 1 species
GGUAGGGCCUCCGGACCUGGUGGCCGGCUUGGUCUUCAAAACCAAUGAGGGGCUGCGAAAGCAGUCCCUGGCGAGUUCGAUUCCCGUGCCCUACCGCCA